GUGGGGAAUCUUGCGCAAUGGGCGAAAGCCUGACGCAGCCAUGCCGCGUGGAUGAUGAAGGUCUUAGGAUUGUAAAAUCCUUUCACCGGUGAAGAUAAUGACUGUAGUCGGAGAAGAAGCCCCGGCUAACUUCGUGCCAGCAGCCGCGGUAAUACGAAGGGGGCUAGCGUUGCUCGGAUUUACUGGGCGUAAAGGGCGCGUAGGCGGACAUUUAAGUCAGGGGUGAAAUCCCGGGGCUCAACCUCGGAACUGCCUUUGAUACUGGGUGUCUUGAGUAUGAGAGAGGUGUGUGGAACUCCGAGUGUAGAGGUGAAAUUCGUAGAUAUUCGGAAGAACACCAGUGGCGAAGGCGACACACUGGCUCAUUACUGACGCUGAGGCGCGAAAGCGUGGGGAGCAAACAGGAUUAGAUACCCCGGUAGUCC
rnacentral:rRNA from 1 species